UUCCUCAAGUUUAUUUUAUUUUUGAGAAGUGGUCCUAUUAUACGGCGAGGGAAAUACAUAUGGUCGUAAUAUAUCGUUUCGGUCGUCCUUUCUACCUGUUCACGAUCUGAUUGUUGCUCCUCGUCCACAU
rfam:Brassica napus, WGS project CCCW01000000 data, contig: 2364